rnacentral:tRNA from 1 species
GGAGGCAUAGCUCAAUGGGUAGAGUGCUUGCCUAGCAUGCAUGAGGUCCUGGGUUCAAUCCCCAUCACUGCG